CCAAGCUCGGAAGGGCAUGUGACGGAUGCCUUGGCACCGGCAGGCGACGAAGGACGCGGCAAGCUGCGAAAAGCUCCGGGGAGCGGCAAACACGCUUUGAUCCGGAGGUGUCCGAAUGGGAAAACCCGGCGGGGGCAAUGCCCCGCCAGCGGAGUCCGAAUCAAAUAGGGCUUCGCGGCCAACCCAGGGAAGUGAAACAUCUCAGUACCUGGAGGAAGAGAAGACAACAGUGAUUCCCCAAGUAGUGGCGAGCGAACGGGGAGAAGCCCAAACCGGCGGACUUGUCCGCCGGGGUUGAGGGACCCUGACAUCGGACCUGGAAGGAUAGGCGAAGCGCCUGGAAAGGCGCGCCAUAGCGGGUGAGAGCCCCGUAGCCGAAAUCCCGAGAGGCCGUAGGGGCAUCCCAAGUAGCGCGGGACACGUGAAACCCCGCGCGAAUCCGGCGCGUCCACGCGCCAAGGCUAAAUACUGUCGGUGACCGAUAGCGAACUAGUACCGCGAGGGAAAGGUGAAAAGAACCCCUGCCAGGGGAGUGAAACAGGACCUGAAAUCACGUGCCUACAAACUGUGGUGGCCGGAGCGAUCCGGUGGCCGCUUGCCUUUUGCAUAAUGAGUCCGCGAGUUAUUGUCGGCAGCGAGGUUAAGGGCGGAGACGUCCGGAGCCGAAGCGAAAGCGAGUGCGAAACGCGCGUCCAGUUGCCGGCCAUAGACCCGAAGCCGUGUGAUCUACCCAUGGGCAGGCCGAAGUCGCCGUAAAAGGCGAUGGAGGGCCGAACCUGUGAUGGCUGAAAACAUCUAGGAUGACCUGUGGGUCGGAGCGAAAGACUUAUCAAACUCGGUGAUAGCUGGUUCUCCUCGAAAUAACUUUAGGGUUAGCCUGCACGAAUGCAAGGCGCGGAGGUAGAGCACUGAAUGGACUAGGGAUCUUACCGGAUUUCCGAAGCCAAUCAAACUUCGAAUGCCGCGUCCGUCACGUGCGGAGAUAGACUGUGGGGGAUAAGCUUCAUAGUCAAAAUGGAAACAGCCUAGACCGCCAGUUAAGGCCCCUAAAACCGGUUGAGUGACUAAGGAUGUGCGAUCGCUGAAACAGCUAGGAUGUUGGCUUAGAGGCAGCCACCAUUUAAACAGUGCGUAACAGCUGACUAGUCGAGCGAUUGUGCGCCGAAAAUGAUCGGGACUAAGCCGGUUGCCGAAGCUGCGGGUUCCGCGUUCCCUGCGGGGUGUGCGGAGCGGUAGAGGAGCGUCGCAUGGGCGUCGAAGCGCAAGGGUGACCGAGCGUGGAGCGCAUGCAAGCGAUUAUGCGGACAUGAGUAACGAAAAGCCGGGCGAGAAUCCCGGCCGCCGAAAUCCCAAGAUUUCCUGGGGAAGGUUCGUCCGCCCAGGGUUAGUCGGCCCCUAAGUCCAGGCCAUUCAGGCGUAGGCGAUGGGAAACGGGUUGAAUAUUCCCGUACCGCCGAUGGACGGCAAAGACGCGACGGAGCAACCGGAAGGCUAGGUCGGCCACCGACCGGAAGUGGUGGUGCAAGCCCGUAGGGGUGCUGUCAGGCAAAUCCGGCAGCGCAACCUGAAAGGCGACGCGACGCGGCGGCUUCGGCCAACGCGGAUCGGCUGACGCCAUGCCGGCAAGAAAAACUCCUGGCGAGUCCAUAGGCGACCGUAUCGCAAACCGACACAGGUGGGAUGGUAGAAGAUACCAAGGCGCGCGAGAGAAACCGUGUUAAGGAACUCGGCAAUCUAGCCCCGUAACUUCGGAAGAAGGGGUCCUCCAGACCGUCAGAUGUAACAUCGAAGCGGAUUGGAGGCGCAGUGAAAGGGCCCAGGCGACUGUUUAUCAAAAACAUAGCACUAUGCCAACUCGAAAGAGGAUGUAUAUGGUGUGACACGUGACCAAUGCCGUAAGGUCAAGGCGAGGGGUCAGCCGCAAGGCGAAGCUCCGAACCGAAGCCCCGGUGAAUGUCGGCCGUAACUAUAACGGUCCUAAGGUAGCGAAAUUCCUUGUCGGGCAAGUUCCGACCUGCACGAAUCGUGUAACGCUGUGGGCGCUGUCUCAACGAGGAUCUCGGUGAAGUUGUAGUGCCGGUGAAAAUGCCGGAUACCCGCAGAAGGACGGAAAGACCCCAUGAACCUUUACUGUAUCCUGGUACUGGGUUCUGGUCGGUCGUAUGUAGCAUAGCCGGGAGGCGUCGAAACGGACUCGUCAGGGUCCGCGGAGCCGUCAGUGAAAUACCAGUCUUGGUCGAUUGGAAUUCUAACCGCGGGCCGUGAAUCCGGCCCCGGGACCGUGUCAGAGGGUCAGUUUGACUGGGGCGGUUUCCUCCCAAAGGAUAACGGAGGAGUUCUAAGGUCCCCUCAGCACGGUCGGCAAUCGUGCGCAGAGCGCAAAGGUAGAAGGGGGCUUGACUGCGAGGCCCACAAGCCGAGCAGAUGCGAAAGCAGGACUUAGUGAUCCGGCGGUCGCUCGUGGUAGCGCCGUCGCUCAACGGAUAAAAGGUACUCCGGGGAUAACAGGCUGAUCGCCGCCA
rnacentral:rRNA from 1 species